GAAAAGAACUUUGAAAAGAGAGUUAAAUAGUACGUGAAAUUGUUGAAAGGGAAACGAUUGAAGUCAGUCAUGCUAAUAAGGAAUCAACUUGAUGGGUCGUUCCCUCGGGAGCAAUCUUUCUUGUGCACUUUCUUGUUCGGCAGGUUAGCAUCAAUUUCGGUUGUCAUCAAAAAAUUGAGGUAAUGUGACUUCUUUCGGGAAGUGUUAUAGACCUUGAUAUAUGUGGUGAUCGGGAUUGAGGAUUGCAGCGGAUGCUUUUGGGCUAGUCACCUACCUUCUGACGGUUACCCCGCUUUCGAUAGCUUGCUAACGAUUGUGGGAUUUAACGGUCUAGAUGUUGGAGUGAUCUUAUAUUCGCUAAGGAUGCUGACGUAAUGGCUUUAAACGACCCGUCUUGAAA
rnacentral:rRNA from 1 species